CUACAGGGUGACCGGAAGCAGAAGGUUGGUGUGGUUGAUGCUGAAUACAUUGUUCGUAUUAGUGACCCUUCUCUUUGACUGGACCCAUCUAAUGGAGCUCCUUGCCGUCUGUGAAGUUUCAGAAAAAGAGAACUCGUGUCUUUAUAGACAUCCAAAUGAAAGCUAUGAAGUCACUCUUCUAGCAGAAGCAGUUCCUUUUGAGCUCCCUGAGCCAGCUCUUGGAGUAAACUUUGAAAAGAACGAAGCUGUUUGUGGCCAAGAUUUCGAAAAGGUACUGUGCUUGUUCUUGUGAAUUUUAUGAAUUUUACGGGUCCAGAUGAUAGACGCGUUGUUUAUGAGAAGGACCCCAGUAUAUGGUUUCUUGAUCACAACUAUCAUGAGGCCAUGUUCUCCAUGUUUAAGAGAAUCAACGCAAAGGAGCAUGUUGUAGGGUGGUAUAGCACUGGCCCAAAGCUACGGGAGAAUGAUCUCGAUAUUCAUGGUCUAUUUAAUAAGCGACUAAACGAGUGGACACGGAUGAGGGAAAUUGGUCGGGUUGGAACUGAAGAAUAGAUGGUGACAUAAUGGUGAAUGGUGCCUUCUUUGUGCCGUCUGGUGAUGAGUUGAGCGCAAUCUAUGCAAAGGCGUCGAGUUAUGAGCCCAAGUCGGCUGCGCUCGUGACGCAGCUGACCAAGUAUGCUAUGCUGGAGUCUUUGAUGGACCAAGGUAUGUGUCUACAUAGUACCGUUGGCCGUUGGCCGAGGUGGCGGUCCAGCUCAUUUGGCUAUAUUGUCUCAGCCAUCGGACACAAUCCAUGGUUCGCUUCGGGUCACUGUUCAAGGUGAGGUUAUCGAACAAUCGUUUGGGGAGGGGAAUUUGUGUUUUCUGAACACUACAACGGUUCACAGCGGCUACACUUGAACAUGGGAUGCAUCCAUCAAUCUUCCCCAAACCCGAAUGGCGCGCACUUAUGGAUGAGUUGGCAGACAUUGCCACUAAUGAAUAUCGGUCCAUAGUUUUUCCGGAGCUCCGAUUCGUCGAAAACUUCCGCGUGGCAACACCUGAGUUGGAAUACGGUCGCAUGAACAUCGGGCGUCGUCCUUCAAAACGAAAGCCAAGUGGUGGGAUUGAAUCACUUAGAGCGAUCCCGUGGAUAUUUUCAUGGACUCAAACAAGGUUUCAUCUUCCCAUUUGGCUCGGUUUUGGAGCUGCAUUCAAGCAUGCUAUUGAAAGGACUCAAAGAACAUCGAGAUGACGAGAGUGAUGUACAAUGAGUGGCCUUUUUUGAGUGAUUCCAAUGCACAAACCUGCAAGAAAUCAUUAAGAUCAUCACAUACGCCUUUUUCAUCUCGAUUAUCUUUUUCACUGGAACUGUAACCGAAGGCAGUUCCAAUAGGCUGGUCAAUGCAUAUCAGUUGUCGUACCAAUUAGGAAUUGGAAAAACGUACUGCUGCUGAUAGAUUCAUCCUUGGAAGGACGAUAUGCUGAUGAUGAUGCAACUGUGGUGGUGGAACUUGCUUUAAGGUGUCUUCAAUAUGAGGGAAGAGAUCGUCCCGAUGUCAUGUUUCUUCUUACAGCAGUGGUACUUGUAUCUCUUCAAAAGCAGAAAGAGGUCAAACCAUGUCUUUUACAAGAUCAUUUGUUUUUAAAUACUUUCUUAUAGCAGUGGUACCGGGAACCACUGAAUGGUUACAUUAUAUCCAGCUUUGUUUGUAACAUGUAUCCCUAAAGUAUCUGCAUUGUUCACUUCUAGGGUCAAACACAGUAACUGCAAUUGCUUAACAGAUAAUGAUCAACCUCAUAGCUGUUACCCAAAUAGAUUAAGGAAUUUGGUUGGUUUUAGUAACUAUAAAUGUUCUCAUGAAAAUUUAUAAUCAUAAUGCGGGGUAUCAAUUUGCUUCA